rnacentral:rRNA from 1 species
UACGAAGGGGGCUAGCGUUGUUCGGAAUUACUGGGCGUAAAGCGCGCGCAGGCGGUCCUUUAAGUCGGGGGUGAAAGCCCAGAGCUCAACUCUGGAACUGCCUUCGAAACUAGAGGACUUGGGUACGGGAGAGGUGAGUGGAAUUCCGAGUGUAGAGGUGAAAUUCGUAGAUAUUCGGAAGAACACCAGUGGCGAAGGCGACUUACUGGACACAUAUUGACGCUGAGGUGCGAAAGCGUGGGGAGCAAACAGG